AGCGGUAGAGAGAAGCUUGCUUCUCUUGAGAGCGGCGGACGGGUGAGUAAUGCCUAGGAAUCUGCCUGGUAGUGGGGGAUAACGUUCGGAAACGGACGCUAAUACCGCAUACGUCCUACGGGAGAAAGCAGGGGACCUUCGGGCCUUGCGCUAUCAGAUGAGCCUAGGUCGGAUUAGCUAGUUGGUGAGGUAAUGGCUCACCAAGGCGACGAUCCGUAACUGGUCUGAGAGGAUGAUCAGUCACACUGGAACUGAGACACGGUCCAGACUCCUACGGGAGGCAGCAGUGGGGAAUAUUGGACAAUGGGCGAAAGCCUGAUCCAGCCAUGCCGCGUGUGUGAAGAAGGUCUUCGGAUUGUAAAGCACUUUAAGUUGGGAGGAAGGGCAGUUACCUAAUACGUGAUUGUUUUGACGUUACCGACAGAAUAAGCACCGGCUAACUCUGUGCCAGCAGCCGCGG
rnacentral:rRNA from 1 species